CAAAAAGCUCUGUUCUGGUUUCAUCUGACCGUAGAACCCGAUCCCAUUUGAAGUUCCAGUAGUGUCUGCACACUGAAGACGCUCGAGUUUGUUUUUGGAUGAGAGUAGAGGCUUUUUUCUUGAAACCCUUCCAAACAGCUUCUUGUGGUGAUGUCGGUGACUUCAGAUUGUAGUUUUGGAGACUUUCUGACCCCGAGACACAACUAACUUCUGCAAUUCUCCAGCUGUGAUCCUCGGAGAUGUUUUAUCCACUCAAACCGUCCUCUUCACAGUGCGUUGAGACGAUAUAGACACGCGUCCAAUUCCAGGUCCAUUCAUAACAUUUCCAGUUGACUGGAACUUCUUAAUUAUUGCCCUGAUGAUGAGCCACGCCCCAUUGUGUGAAGCUCAACAACCUUUUGCUGCACAUCACAGCUAUAUUCCUCGCUCUUACCCAGUGUUAUGAAUGACUAAGGGAAUUUGGCCUGUGUUUUACCUCAUAUUUAUACCCCUGUAAAACAGGAAGUCAUGAUUGAACAAUUUCCUGUUCCUAGUCACCCAUUUUUACUAAAAAUUUUUAAAUAUUAAUGGGAAUAUACUGCACAUAGAUUUUGCUCAUGUGAAUUCAUAGGGGUGCCAAUAAUUGUUGCAAACCUAUAUUUAAGAAAGAUAUUUCUGGAUAAACCUGUCUUGUGUUUGAUAUCCAUGAGAAGAGUAUUUUUGUGAAUGUUUUGAACAAAAGAUCAAAAGGUUAAACAAUAAAGACAACGUAUACAAUUAUAUAUACUAUAUCUACAGACAGGACACAUGGACUGCAAAAUAAUGACCCUAUAAAAAAUUUUUAAAAGAUGUACAUAAUCAAAAAUGAGACAAUACAACGCGGGGACUUACUGGCGAGGUCGGUGCCGGAGGCGGCGCAGUUCCGCAGCAGGAUGUGGAUGAGUUUGAGGCCGAUGCGCGUGGACUGAAGGCCGAUUUUCACCAGAACAGCCUCGAUGUUGGGCGAGUGCAUACCGCAGUACGGAGACAUGAGCAGCGCCGCACACGUCUGCAGCAGGUUAGCUGUCUGCGAGGCCGCGCUCGCCAUCAUCGCUUCCAGAUCAGAAACGUGAGUCACGCAGUGGUGCAGCAGACGCAGCCAGCCGAUACUGAGCCAAGAACCACACACACACACACACAGUCUGAGAAUGAACCAAACAUGAGCUGGUAUUGUGUGUUAGAAUGAAAAGCACAAACACAGACAUCUGGAGAAGGAGGAGCUAAAGCAGAUGGAGUAAGGAUGACGGUGAUCAGGGAGCCAGGAGACCGACAGGUACCUGGUUUUGGAGACCUGGUCCUCAGAAGGCAGGAAGGGGUUGUUCACCGUGGCUGACGAGGUGCUGCCGAACGCGGUGAGGCCGAGCAGUUUGAUCUGCGACAGGCCGAGCGUGCUGGCGUCUCGAGGACGGUGCAGACGCACGCACACGGCCGACGCCACUUCCGCACGCACCAGCUGGAUUUUAAUGUAGGUGAGGCCGCUCGUGACGAGGGGCGUGGACAGGGGGAGCAUGUUCACACCGUCCGCACUGAUCUCCACCGACACCGAGGACGGACACGCUGGACACACAGAGCACACCGGGGAAUCAAACAAAAACACAAUCACUGAAGGUUCAUAUCUAACGCAGUGCUCCGGGUUCUGGAUUCUGAUUGGCCAGAAGGGAAGGUGUUGAUUAAUUCUUUAUAAGAG
ensembl:lncRNA